ACUUUCAAUUCAGCCAAGAGGCAGAAAGGAACCUCGGAGGACCACUAAAAACACCCCUGCCGACUCGCACUGCGGCACCGUGCCUAAUUGGGCACUGCCCGCAUCAGGAGAUAUGCCUGUGAAAACCCGGCACUGUGCAGCUUUGCUGGGCAGGCUGCAGGUGGGAGCUCACAGCAACACCUGCCCCAGGACAGCCGGGAUGGGAAACGUAAGGAGAGCGGCAGGAGUUGAUUCUGUUUCCAAUUGAACUGCCUGGGGGCAAGCUCCUCUCCUCCAGCCGCUGUGCAACCUCUGCAGCAAGGCUCCUUCCCACGUACCCACAGCCUGAGGGCACAACGCUCAUUUUGGAGAGGCAGAAAGCAGCUCUCAUUUCCAGUUAGUGGCUAUUUGGCGCGGCACUUAAACCAGGCAAGAAAUGACUUCUGUGCGUGGAGUUACCAAAACUCCCAUUGAAUUGGGACAAUGAGUUGGGAUGUUUGUCGGUGACGCAUUCAGAGCCAUGGCAGGAAGGGUUAUCGCUUCCAGUCCCAGCCUAACCUGCUGCACAAAUAGCGAGCAUACCUUUCUAAAUAAGUUGUUUCAAAGAACAAAAAGGAAAAAAAAAAAACAUUUUCCUUUGAAAAGCGCCACUGUGCAACUUCACAAAGGCUUCUAAAUAUAGCUACUUUCAGUGAACAAGUGCAAGAAGGAGACCGGGCAGAUGGCUUUGAAGAGCCACCGCUUCCCUCUUGGAAUCAUAGAAUCAUGAUAAGGUUGAAGGGACCUCCAAGUUCCCUCAGCCCCAACCCCUGCCAUGGGCUGGGAGCCACUUCAGGCUGCCCAGAGCCCAUCCAUGGCGUUGGGCACCUCCAGGGAUGGGGCACCCACAACCCAUCCCACCCUCCUUCACCAUCACCAGUGCGGUGCAAAGGAAAGAUAAGGGCUCACCCCACAGAUCCGAGGACGGUCCUUUUCUGAGCAAGUCCAGCUGCGUUCUGCUAAAAGACUUUUCAAGCAUAUUCCUAAUGAUCUGAAUUGUUCCCGAGCACUCCCUGCAGGCUCCAGCCGGGUUUUGGGGGGAGCUUGCUCUUCUGAGAAUGCUGUUCCUUAUUUUCGUCAGCACAUUGAACAUAGCCUCUAAAUUAAAAUCUUCUAUUCCCAGCCUAUUUUGAUCAACUCCACUUCCUUCAGCUUAAAAGAUACAAUAAGAAUAGAUGAGCUCUUGCAAAUUAAAAGCCUCUCUUGCUU
ensembl:lncRNA